UAAACAUUAAAGGGGCGCCUGGGUGGCUCAGUCGGUUGAGCGACCGACUUCGGCUCAGGUCACGAUCUCACAGUUUGUGAGUUUGAGCCCCGCGUCGGGCUCUGUGCUGACAGCUCAGAGCCUGGAGCCUGCUUCGGAUUCUGUGUCCCCCUCUCUCUCUGCCCCUCCCCCACUCAUGCUCUGUCUCUCUCUGUCUCAGAAAUAAACAUUUAAAAAAAUUUUUUUUUUAAUUUUGUGCACCCAAAGACACUAUCCACAGAGUAAAAGUCCGUGCACAUGAUGGGUGAACAUAUAUGCAAACGAUACAUCUGACAAAGGAUUAAAAUCCAGAAAAUACAGAGAACUUCUUGAAGUCAACAACAAAAAAGUCCUAGCGAUCCAAUUAAAAACAAGGGGGCAAAGGAAUAAACAUUUCUCCAAAGAUGACAUACAGGUAGCCAACAAACACACGAAAAGAUGCUCCACAUCGCCAGUUGGCAGGAAAACGAAGUUAAAACCACCGUGGGAUACUGGUUCAUAUCCACCAGGACGGCUAGGAUUUAGUGACAGUAGCAAGCAAGGUGAUGUGGAAAAAUCGGCACCCCCACACCUCGUACGUUACUGGGAACGUAAAUUUGCUCAGUCGCCGUGGAAAACAGUAUGGCAGUCCCGGAGAAAAUUGAAAUUAGAGCUGCCACACGAUCCAACAAUCUGACCUCUGAGUGUAGCCCAAAGGAGGUGAAAGCAGGGUCCUGAGGAGACACCCACGUCCCAGCCACAUUCUCCACAGCAGCUAAAACGUGGAAGCCACCCACGCGGCCACGGAUAAACAAAAUCUGAUACGUACACACAGCGGAAUGGUGCUCAGUCAUAGAAGAAGGGAGACGCUGACACCUGCGACAUCAUGGCUGAAACUGCAGGACGGACACUCGGUGAAUAGGCCAGUCGCGAGAAGGCAAGUACUGUGGGAUUCUACCCGUGUGAGUUACCUGGUGUCGCGGAAGCCGUAGAGACAGAGGGUAGACGGCGGUUGCCUGGGGCGGGGGGCAGGGCCAGUGGAGAGCUACUGCCUCCUGGGUAUAGGGUCUCUCGGUUCCUACAAGGUUAAAAGGAUCGUGGGGAUGGAUGGUGGGGAUGAGGGACGGGCGAGUGUAUUUCAUACCACCCAACUGUGUACUCAAAAAUGGUUAAGAUGGUAAAUUUCAUGUUAUGUAUAUUUCAUCCCAGCUUAAAAAAUUUUUUAGGUGGGAGGCAAAAUUGUCACGCUUCUAGAAAAUAAUCCAGGAGACCAUAUUUCUGAUCCCAAGGCGGGGAAAGUUGCGUGAAAUAGGGCCAAGAAGCACCAGCCUGAAAAAAGAUACUGGCGACUUUGACGCAUUAAAAUUGUGAACUCGUGCGUCCCGUGUGUGGGUUUCUGAGAGGCGACGGUGUGGUGUGGUUUCUCUGCCUGUUGGUUAGGUCCCACAUGGGGCCUGGUGAGAUGCCAGCCUUCCGGGUCCCGGCUUGUUGAAAAUGCCGUGUUUUCAUUAUCGCUUUUAAAUGAGAGUUUACUCGCGUGUGGAGUCCAGCGUUCAAAGGCAGUUUCCGUCGUGCUGUUCCCGGUGCUGGUCCCGGUCUCCCUGGGGGGCGAGCACGCGGUCUUGUCCUUCCGGCAGCUCUGAGCUUUUCUCUUUGCCUCGGGACCCUCAGACCUCACCACCUGGCCUGUCCUUUCCCGUUCCCGGCACUCCCUGAGUGCCUUCACUUCGGAAAGGUCAUCGUCAUCACAUGUCUGUCCAAGUACUGCCCUGUGGCCAUGGCCCCCUCUCACCACGGUGCGUCCCCCAAAACCUUUUGUCCAGGACGUCUGUCGGUUUCACUUUCUUGUUUUCAGCUCUUCUAUUUUAAAAUGUCUUUCUAUCUCUGUCGUGGUUUUUCUGUCUGUGGGGGAAGACGUGCCCACUUUUCCAUCUGGAAACCAGAAAUCCCUUUUCAAAAAUAUUUAAAGUUUAAGCAACAGUGUUUUGUCUUUAUGCGCCGUGUUGGUUUUUAUAGCUACCUCCUCCAGGGCCACGGUGGAGCCCUGUGGCUGACGGUGUGGACUCUGGAGUCAGAUCUCCUGGACGGAGCCUGGCUUUCACCCUUACUGAAGCGAGUGUUUCCAUUGCUGCGUGCCUCAGUGUCCCCACCUGUAAAGCGGGAGAAAUAAUGGCUCACGCUCAUCGGGUGCCACCCCGCAGGAGCUGCACUUCAUGGACACGAGCUCUUGUCCACGGCAAGAGAUGCUCAUGUUCCCGGUCCCUUAGGAACAUGUUUAAAUUAGGUGGCAGUACCCCCUGAAACCAGCUCUGCCCACUUGGGGGUCUUUCUCGUCCUUCUGGCCCAGAUGGCGAUCAAACAGGCACCGAGCCCGUCAGUCGUGUUGUAGAUGACGUCCUCGAAAUGGCGGCCUCGUUGUGCAGACAAGGACAGUCCUCCUCCGCCACGCAGCCUCCGCUCCCGUCCGACACCAGCCCCGGGGGGCAGACGCAGCCGGACACGCAGUGAGUGCUGAACUGUGGACCGGCACAAGUCAGUGCCGGUCACCCGCUGUGCCCGGGGACGCCCUCGGGCAGCGCCCUCGCCGUGCCCUCCCGGCCACUCACACAGUCCACGUCCAGCGUGUGGCAGCUCCUGAGACACUCGGCCCCGGGCGCGCCGGCGGAGACGUUGCGGCAGUCCAGGUACACCAUGGGGGCCGCGCACCCUGCGGAGGAGGCGGGGCUGGGCUGGGAGGGGCCCCUCCCCCCACCCGGGGCCCGCGGAAGCCCCUCCCUCGGGGUGCUGCCCAGAGGCCGUACCUGAGCUCCUGUGCUCCGCUGCUCCCAGGCAACUCAGCUUCCCACCCACGCACGAGCUGUGAGAGACAGACGACCCUCUCUGGACCCCCUGCCCACCCACCACCCCACAGACCUCACCCAGAUCUCUGCCCGGCUGGGGGCACCCCUCCCCCGGCGCAGAGAGAAAACCGUCCUGUGCAAUGCACACGCCCUCCCUGGGCCCUGGACCCUCAGAACCCUCUGGAGGCCAAGGGAGGGCUACCUCUUCACAGCAGGAGAAAGGGAUGUGGGGGGAGGGGCAAACUUCCCUCCCCAGGGAGCACCUUUGUGUUUCAAAAUCCUCUGGGAGACACCCAGACAUCUUUGCGUGUGAAACAGGGUGACGAGACCCUCGCUCUCCUGGGAUGGGGCACAGUGAUGGGGGGGGGGGGGGCAUGGGCCCAGCUGGCCCCUUACCACACCACGCUGUCGUCAUGCACCACCUCCCCCGGGGCCACUGCAGAGCCACGGAAGUAGCAGGGACAGGCCUCAGCGGACACACAGGCACCCGAGUCAUCCAGGAAGGUGCCCGAGGGGCAGAUGCAGCCGUCCACAGGCACGAAGGUGACGCCGCAGGUGACGUCGACCUGGCUCAGAGCGCGGCAGGUGGGCUGGCAGCUGGCCACCACAUAGCUGUAGUUCUGGGACUUGGGGCAGCUGCUCACAUACUUGGCUGGGGGCAGGGGCAGCGCUCAAGUCAGUGGUUGGAUGGCCCCCUCCAAACCGGUGUUUAAGCAGCCCAAGACUCAGUUUCCCCUCUGACACCCAGGGAUGGUGGGACCACAAGGUCCUUGGUUGGCCCGACCGAGGAAGCCAGAAGCUCUGGCUGAGAACAUGUGGGUGGGGGGUGGCUGCCCCCAGGAUCCCCAGCCCCCCUGCCCCCACCCGGUGCAGCCAGAGUGGCUCAGGGACACUCACCGCACACGCCGUCCCUCCAGCCUCUGAGCAGCACCCCCUUGGCGGCACAGGCGUGCACGUAGGAGGACAGGGCCGCACACAGACAGUCCUCGCUCUUCUGACAGUUACAUGUGUCGAACAUGCAGUGCUGGGGAUGGGGCCAUUGGGGACCGUCAGGAACCCCAGCCCACCAAGGCCCCUCCUCUUCCCGUGGAUUCUUCCUGGGACCCCUGCCUGGACUGGGAGGUCCACCCCAAGGAGGCCCCUUGGCACAGAUGGGCGGAAAGCGGCCCCCAGGAGGGGCACACCGCACGCUAAGCGACUGCAGAGGCCCGGUCAGGGGGCAGCAAGAAGGCGUGAGACCAGGCUAUGGUCAGGGUCAGGAGGGAGCGCCACAGGACAGGGCCAGGGUCGGCCGCAUCCCACGUACGUCACGGGUUGUGCUGCGUGUGGGGGACACAGGUGGGGUGAAGAGGGUGCCAUCUGCCCAGGCAGAGGUGGGCCUGGGCUUUCCACCUGGAGAUGCUCCUGAUGGUGCAUUUUAGGGCUUUGAGCUUCUGGGAAAGUGGCCCAUGAGUCAAGUGUUGUGAAGGAUACGUGGAAACCCUAACCCACGGGGCCUGAGAAAAUGAGCUUAUUGCAAACAGGGUCUUUGCAGAUGUUAUUAAGACGAGGUCAUGGGGAUGGUCCCCGAUCCAGCAUGACUGGUGUCCUUAAAGAGGAAAUUUGGACACAGACACAGGGGAGGGGCCAAGGCCGUGUGACCAGGGAGGCAGAGGUUGGGGUGACAUGGCCACAAGCCCAGGGACACCUGGAGCCCCGAGAAGCUGGGAGAGGCAGGAAGGACCUUCUCUGUAGCCUUAGGAGGGAGCAUGGCCCUGCCCACAGCUUGAUUUGGGGCUUCUGGCUUCUAGGACCGGAACAGAAUCAAUAUUUCUAGUUUUUGGUGAGCUGGUCCGUGGCCACAAACACCCCGACAGUGAUGGUGCUAAAAGCCCCGGGCAGCCCCGGGUAGGACUGACCAACCAGCCCGCCGUGCUGUGAGUGGUCCUUGAGAUAGGGGACCACCAAGGGGAGGCUAAGGGGUAGGGGGGGGCUCCAGGUGGAGCAGGGGUCUCACCGAGUGGAAGGGUGCAGGGUUGAGGACAGAGUGACAGGGCGAGAAGGCUCCGGCAGGGUCGGUCAGCAGGGAGCACCAGUGCUGGGCGUAGUUCUCUGGGACAAGGGUGCGGGGGGAGGCUGGCUGGCCGGCACCCACACACCUCCUCCCCCUCGCCCGCCCCCUCAGGCUGCCUGCGCUCCUGCACACAGGCCCUGGGGGGCCCCACGGUCCCCAGAGAGCUCAGCUGGGAUUUGGGGCUUGCCCACCAUGCUGAGGGGGCAGGAAGGUGCUCCUCCUCGAGACAGGCUCUGAGCACUCUGGCCUGCCCGAUUUCACCCCAGGCCAUGCACACCCGGACACCAGGGGUCACCCAGGGCCUGGUGAGAUGGGAGGUCUUGGCUCCCAGCCCAGCCCUCGUAAACGGAGGGCCCCCGGGGGGUGGGAGUACCGUUCUCCACGCUGAGGGAGCAGGGGUCCUCGAAGCUGUUCUUGACGUUGGGGCAGGCGGCCUGGGUCUUCCAGGUAUUGGCGAAGGCGGCGGCCGUGCCCUCCACCACGCCGCUGAGGGUCCGGAAGUCAUCGGCCUGGUUCUGGUUGAAGUUCCCGCACAGGCCUGGGGGCCGGGGCCCAGGGAUGGGGCAUUAGCAGGGCGUCCAGCCUAGCCAUCCGGGGGACCUUGCUCCCUGGCUCCUGCUCUCCUCUAGAAACCACCACACGGCGGACCAGCCCCGAACCCCCAUCCCAGGAGUGGUUCCAGAGCCAUCCGUAGACUCUUCCCGUCCUGCCCGCGGCCUGGAGCUGAGUCCGGGCACCAGCCCCCUCCCGGCCCGUCGGCGGAGCCUCACCGCACAUCUGUCCGUGAUAGGAGGGGUCCAGCCUGAGGAACACCUGCAUGAGGGGCACCAGUUGAACCUGCAGCUGCAGCCCGAGGCCCGUGUGCACCAGGACGAAGAAGGACGUAGGCCUGAAGAUGGUGAUGUUGGCUGCCGGGGGUGGGGACCGAGUCAGAGUCUGCGUGGGGGCCAGGCCUGGCCAGACGGAGCCCCCUUGCUCCUGGGACAGCCAGGAAGCAGGGAGGGUCCCCUAGGGAUGGCCUGGGAGGAUCCAGGCAUCUGGUGGGCCCGUGCCACCGCUCCGGGACCCAGGGGUGGGCGGAGCUCCUCUGCAGGUGGUAUUGGCAGUGACCACUCGUGAUCCCCGAGAGGCUGCGCCCCAAGUGUGUUCGGCCCCGGUCCCCCCGGUAGCCGAGGGGGGAGCAUUGACAUCCCACGUGCAGAUGAGAGACCAACCAUGGGAUAUUCCGGAACUGCCCCGGGCCACAGAGAACCAGCCUUGGGAGCAGACCACCUGGCUGCAGUGCAGCCGGCUGUCCCAGACCGCGUACCUGCUGACACGGGCAGCCGCGUGUGCACGGAGUUCAUGAAUACCCCACCGCUGGCCUGGAUCUGGAUGAUCUGGAAGGUUAGCACCAGCCGGACAUCAACCUUGAUGUAGACACUGCUCUCCUCUACCAGGACGCCAGCGCGGCUGUAGGGCAGCUCCUCCCUGGGGUGGAAAUUUCUGGUCCUCCCAGGGCCAGGGUGCGCAGCAGGGUGCGGUGCCCCCCAGCAGCCCUGAGCCCAGAACCCGCCCCAGAGGCCCGGCCCUUCCCCAGCCCGGACCAGGCUCACCGCUGCCCGUUGAUGAGGAUCGAGCUGUUGGAGGCCUCCAGCACCAGCCCUUGGGUCUUGAGGAUGAUGUGGGUGAUGGUAGGCCUGGAGCCGGCCAGGCCGCGGCGGACCUGGAUGUUGAAGUCCUCGUAGGCGGCCCCGCAGUGCAUGGAGAGGACGUAGUUGCACAGGCCCGGGAAGCGGAAGACGUCCCCGUCGAAGGUCUUAUAGUGGAAGUCGCCCCAGGGGGAGGAAGCUGCACACGGACCCGGAUUUGGGGGUGCCGUCCGACAUAACCAGCCUGCACCCCUCGAAAAGGCCAUGGUCAGGGAACACAGAGAAAGGCUGAGGACCUGUGGUCCUGGAUCGAAUCCUGGAGAAUGUGCGGCCAUGACGACCAUGACCGGCUCAAGACCACAGAGGGCCCUGGUUUAGAGGGUGUGGCGUGCCCCUGCUGGCUCUGCUGAGGGCGACCCCUGGCCUGUCUCUAGGAGACACCCACCCACCUAUGGAGGGAUGGAGGCCAUGCUUCUCAAACCCAUGUGGCUUAGAAAACACACGUGGAUACAGACGGUGGGCAAGUGCACACACACACGAGAGGAAACAGCAAAGCCAAGAGACUGAGGUGCAGACAUCCGUGAAUCUGGAUAAAGGCAGACAGGAGCUCUUUCUGCUAUCUGUACCCAUAAACUUGAAACCACAUCAAAAUAAAAUGUUCU